AGUGGGGUGGGGUGGUCUAACUGUUGGACUAUAUGACUACAGAGACCAGGGUUCAAUUCCCUGCCCAGCUG